AUCAAGUCAGCUUCGCGAAGACGGCUUUCGUUACCCUUCGUCAUUGAUUGUAUUGAGCUGAAACUGAAAAGUCGGCAGUGCUUUAUUGUGAUUUUUUAUUUCUUUGGUGAUUUUUUAAUUAAAAUAGGAGUUAAAGCGGGCGAAAACGAUAUUCGUUUGUUCAACUUAGAUUUGACGUUGCAUCAAAUUUUAGAUGAGUGGCCGCUGUACAAAUACUCCAAGGCUCCUGAAUUGGUUGACAUUGACUAUAAUGACAGUUUCCCGGGAAAUGGGCUAAAUUUUUCAAAUUGGAAUCAUUUGUGUACAAUCGCUUCGGAUCUGUUUGAGUAAAGGAUAAAAGAUCCACAAACCAAGCAGCUUAAAAGCCGGGUAUUCGGAAAGAAAGACGUAUUAAAUAUAGACAAUUUCAACAUAUAUAUUAUGAUGUUGUUGCAUGCGGUUUUAUUGCCUACUGCAAAAAAUUUACAUGGGCGUCACAAAAUGCCUUCACAGUCUCAGUAAACCAAUCUAGUGAAGUGGAUCAAGCGAUUGCAGAAAAGGGGAAACAGUGCCUAGAAGAUAAUUCAACCCUGCAACCGUUCGUCAUUGUUGUGGGUGACGAAUUUAAUUUUAAGAAUUUUUAUGUCACAUUAGACGGAAUUAAAUAUUCAUUUCAUUCUUAUAUGGAGGCUAUACAAUAUUGUUAUAAAUUAAUGUUUGUGCUAAAUUUAAAAUAUCCAGACGAAUGUACGAAUGUAUGGAUAUUCGUGCAAAAAUAUUUGUUCAACAUGAAAACGGAUUCCACUCUCCCAGUAAUUAAUACAUUGACAAACGACAUUAAUAACUGGACAAGCUCAAAAUAGGUUAAGUGCUAAGACAUACACUUUUGAUCAGUUGAUUAAGUCAUCAACAUUUUGAUCAAUUUUGGCUAUUUUUCUUUUGUUUAUUUAAUGUAUAUUAUUUUUCCAUAAA
rnacentral:lncRNA from 1 species